AUGAACGCUGGCGGCGUGCCUAAUCCAUGCCAGUCGAGCGAACAGACGAGGAGCUUGCUCCUCUGACGUUAGCGGCGGACGGGUGAGUAACACGUGGAUAACCUACCUAUAAGACUGGGAUAACUUCGGGAAACCGGAGCUAAUACCGGAUAAUAUAUUGCACCGCAUGGUUCAAUAGUGAAAGACGGUUUUGCUGUCACUUAUAGAUGGAUCCGCGCCGCAUUAGCUAGUUGGUAAGGUAACGGCUUACCAAGGCAACGAUGCGUAGCCGACCUGAGAGGGUGAUCGGCCACACUGGAACUGAGACACGGUCCAGACUCCUACGGGAGGCAGCAGUAGGGAAUCUUCCGCAAUGGGCGAAAGCUUGACGGAGCAACGCCGCGUGAGUGAUGAAGGUCUUCGGAUCGUAAAACUCUGUUAUUAGGGAAGAACAAAUGUGUAAGUAACUAUGCACGUCUUGACGGUACCUAAUCAGAAAGCCACGGCUAACUACGUG
rnacentral:rRNA from 1 species